rnacentral:rRNA from 1 species
AACGAACGCUGGCGGCAUGCCUAACACAUGCAAGUCGAACGAGACCACCGGAACUGGUGGCGCACGGGUGCGUAGCGCGUGGGAAGCGGCCCGUAGGUUCGGAAUAACUCUUUGACAGGGGGGCUAAUACCGGAAAACGUAUUCGAACCCAGGAUAUAUCGCACUUGGUUGGGCCCGCGAUGGAUUAGCUUGUUGGGAGUGAAAGAGCCUACCAAGGCGACGAUACUUAGCUGGUUUGAGAGGAUGAUCCGCGACACUUGGACUGAGACACAGUCCGGAAUCUUACGGGAUGCAGGAGAGGCGAAUACAGGAAUAUCGGGUAAAGGAAGAUGCAGUACUGCUGCGAAAGCGAUGAUGGCCGUAGGGAAGAAAAGCUCUUUUACCCGGGAUGAUAAUGACGGUACCGGGAGAAUAAGCUCCGGCUAACUCCGUG